rnacentral:tRNA from 4 species
GGUCGGGUAGCUCAGUUGGUAGAGCAAUGGAUUGAAAAUCCAUGUGUCGGCGGUUCGAUCCCGCCCCCGACCAC